CCUGCCCCUCCCCCAGCCACCCCGGAAGCUCCUUCCACAUUUGAAGUCUCUGGCCGCCCCAUUUCACUGCUCCCCUUCCCCGGAAAACACCAGAGAGGAGGAAGAGAUCCCGGCGUUUCUCCGUCCCCCCAACAGUGAGGCUGUGUUGGGGGGUUCCCCCGACCAUCCUCCCGCCCCCCGCCGUGACUCUCUGUAUUUCUGUCCCCAGCUCUUGUCACCGCCUGAGACCUCGUGAGACCCUCGGGUCCCCCCUGCCCCUUCCCCCCAGGUUAGCAAUUGGGAAUGGCUGGGAGGGGGUGUCCCCACGAUACUGGGCUUCAAACCCCCAGGCCCUCUCCUACAGUCAGGACUCCCGCCUUCAGACAGCGCCCCUGGCUCUGUAGAAAAGCCAUGGAACUCCCCCCAGACGCUGGCAGAACCGAAGACGGACCAAGCUUUCAGAAACCACACACACUGCUCCUGGAUCUUGAGUCCCGUGAGCUGUCCCUUAGCGCCUCCCCUCACCCGCAGAAGCCCAUUUUUUUCAGACUUUGGGAUGCUUCAAAUCCUUUCACCACUGACACUGCCUGGACCUUCCUGGACCCUGGAACGAUGCCCCAGGGAUGAGCCUUGCCCCCGCCCACUGCUCUUGGAGUUCUCUCACUCCCCCAGGGCACUGCCAGCUUUGGUUCCUCAGCCCCCCACAGCCCUGCCCGCCUUGUCCCCAUUCCCUACACUAGAUGGCCCCCAAUCCCACUCUGCUGUCCUGCCCAGCCCGUUUCCCUCCAAGCCCUCUCCACUGGCUGCUCCCCACAUGCAUUCCACCGGCCCCUCCCCACGCCCCUGCUGCCCACCAUCCCGCCUUGCUGUCCCCCACCUUUUGGCCUGAGAUGAG
rnacentral:lncRNA from 1 species